UGCCAGCAGCCGCGGUAAUACGUAGGGUGCAAGCGUUGUCCGGAUUUAUUGGGUUUAAAGGGUGCGCAGGCGGCCCUGUAAGUUAGUGGUGAAAGCGUCCAGCUUAACUGGAUACCCGCCAUUGAUACUAUAGGGCUUGAGUGUGUCAGAGGAGGUUGGAAUGCGUGGUGUAGCGGUGAAAUGCAUAGAUAUCACGCAGAACACCGAUUGCGAAGGCAGAUCUCUAUGACAUAACUGACGCUCAGGCACGAAAGCGUGGGGAGCGAACAGGAUUAGAUA
rnacentral:rRNA from 1 species